AGUGAACGCUGGCGGCGUGCCUAAUACAUGCAAGUCGAACGGCGUGGCGCACGGGUGAGUAAUAUAUCGCUAAUCUGCCCCUUGCUGGAGGACAACAGUUAGAAAUGACUGCUAAUACUCCAUAGCAAGGGAUGGGACUAUAUCGUAUCACCUAGUCGGUGUGGUAACGGCCUACCGAGGCUAUGACGAGUAACUGGUCUGAGAGGAUGAUCAGACAAAUUGGAACGGAGGCACGGGUCAAACUCCUACGGGAGGCAGCAGUAGGGAAUAGUGCGCAAUGGGGGAAACCCAGACGGAGCAACGCCGCGUAGAGGAUGACACUUGUCGGGGCGUAAACUGCUUUUGUUAGGGAAACGGUACCUAACGAAUAAGCACCGGCUAACUCCGUGCCAGCAGCCGCGGUAAUUC
rnacentral:rRNA from 1 species